UACGUAGGAGGCAAGCGUUGUCCGGAGUUACUGGGCGUAAAGCGCACGCAGGCGGUCUUGUCAGUCUGUAGGGACAGGGCACAGCUCAACUGUGUCAGGCUUACGGAAACUGCAAGACUUGAGGGCUUCAGAGGGAUGGGGAAUUCCGGGUGGAGUGGUGAAAUGCGUAGAGAUCGGAAAGAACACCAACGGCGAAAGCACUCUGCUGGGCCGACACUGACACUGAGAGACGAAAGCUAGGGGAGCGAAUGGG
rnacentral:rRNA from 1 species